CCCCGCUACUGAGCACGCGCAACGUCCCUACAGAUGCAGCCAAUCAGAAUCCGCCCUGUACUAGGCCAGCAGCUUGCGUGCGGUUGUGCCGUGUGAAGCCCGAGUGAGUGACAGGGUUUGAGUUCAGAGCCUCCGCCUCCUUGGCCCAGAACCUCCCUACAGCUGGGGUGCCUCAGCUUCCUGGUGGUCUCGCCUGCUGGGAUCCAGUCCUACCUGCUGUGCCCAUGCACUGCUGGGAGAUCGGGAUCUGGAGCUUGGAGUUACCUGCUGUGGAAGACACAACUACCAAGAAAAUGUUAAAAAGUGCCAAACAGUCACUGAAAACUUAAAAAAGAGAUACCAGUACCAGCAACUUCACAUUUUAAAAUCCACAAAUUUACAAUGAUGGAGGCAAAACUGUCUGUCAUCUCACUCUUACACAAGGUUUAUUCUGCUAGAUUUAUUAUCCGGACACAGAGAGAAGAGCUCCGACAUAACUCAUCCAAAAGCUAGAAUGGAAAAUAAUUGUUUCCUGUCUUGCACUCCAUCAUGCCACAUCUUUCAAUAAAAUAGUGAAAGAGGUACUAAAUCA
rnacentral:lncRNA from 1 species